rnacentral:rRNA from 1 species
AUGAACGCUGGCGGCGUGCCUAAUACAUGCAAGUCGAGCGAACGGACGAGAAGCUUGCUUCUCUGAUGUUAGCGGCGGACGGGUGAGUAACACGUGGAUAACCUACCUAUAAGACUGGGAUAACUUCGGGAAACCGGAGCUAAUACCGGAUAAUAUUUUGAACCGCAUGGUUCAAAAGUGAAAGACGGUCUUGCUGUCACUUAUAGAUGGAUCCGCGCUGCAUUAGCUAGUUGGUAAGGUAACGGCUUACCAAGGCAACGAUGCAUAGCCGACCUGAGAGGGUGAUCGGCCACACUGGAACUGAGACACGGUCCAGACUCCUACGGGAGGCAGCAGUAGGGAAUCUUCCGCAAUGGGUGAAAGCCUGACGGAGCAACGCCGCGUGAGUGAUGAAGGUCUUCGGAUCGUAAAACUCUGUUAUUAGGGAAGAACAUAUGUGUAAGUAACUGUGCACAUCUUGACGGUACCUAAUCAGAAAGCCACGGCGAACUACGU